rnacentral:rRNA from 1 species
AUUGAACGCUGGCGGAAUGCUUUACACAUGCAAGUCGAACGGCAGCACGGACUUCGGUCUGGUGGCGAGUGGCGAACGGGUGAGUAAUGUAUCGGAACGUGCCCAGUCGUGGGGGAUAACGUAGUGAAAAUUACGCUAAUACCGCAUACGAUCUAUGGAUGAAAGCGGGGGAUCGCAAGACCUCGCGCGAUUGGAGCGGCAGAUAUCAGAUUAGGUAGUUGGUGGGGUAAAGGCCCACCAAGCCAACGAUCUGUAGCUGGUAUGAGAGGACGACCAGCCACACUGGAACUGAGACACGGUCCAGACUCCUACGGGAGGCAGCAGUGGGGAAUUUUGGACAAUGGGCGAAAGCCUGAUCCAGCCAUUCCGCGUGCAGGAUGAAGGCCCUCGGGUUGUAAACUGCUUUUGUACAGAACGAAAAGGUUUCUACUAAUACUAGGAGCUCAUGACGGUACUGUAAGAAUAAGCACCGGCUAACUACGUGCCAGCAGCCGCGGUAA